rnacentral:rRNA from 1 species
UAGUCCACGCCGUAAACGAUGGGCACUGGGCGCGGGUGGGAUCGACCCCUUCCGUGCCGCAGCUAACGCGUUAAGUGCCCCGCCUGGGGAGUACGGCCGCAAGGCUGAAACUCAAAGGAAUUGACGGGGGCCCGCACAAGCGGUGGAGCAUGUGGUUUAAUUCGAAGCAACGCGAAGAACCUUACCUGGGCUUGACAUGCACGUGAAAUCCUCGUGAAAGCGGGGACCCUCUUCGGAGCGCGUGCAC